UACGUAGGGGGCAAGCGUUGUCCGGAUUUAUUGGGCGUAAAGAGCGUGUAGGCGGCCAUUCAGGUCAGCUGUGAAACUCGAGGCUCAACCUCGAGACGUCGGUUGAAACCGUUUGGCUUGAGUCCGGGAGAGGUGAGUGGAACUGCGAGUGUAGAGGUGAAAUUCGUAGAUAUUCGCAAGAACACCAGUGGCGAAGGCGGCUCACUGGCCCGGUACUGACGCUGAGGUGCGAAAGCGUGGGGAGCAAACAGG
rnacentral:rRNA from 1 species